CGGGAUGAUCAAAAUGGUUGCUUGCCUUGUUGCUCAGAGGAGGGACAAUAUCCGUCAGUCGGAUAUUCGGUGGAAUCCGGAGGAGCGGAGCCUACCGAAAAGAGUGACAACAAUCAAUAACAAGCAUAUGCAACAAAAUGAUGCAUGAGCAUGGCAUGAGGAUGCAAAGUGGUAUACUAUUAUGGCUAACAUUUAUUAGGUUUGAAGUUGAUUUGAAUCAAAUUCAAAUAUCACUUCAAACGAGGUAUUCUCGGAUACCAUUUUAAUUGAUUC
rnacentral:lncRNA from 1 species